CUGCAGGAGGACCCGUUGGAUGUUUGAGCAGAGCCCGGAGGCGCCAUGGAGCCGCUCCUGGAGGAGCUGUCAGCGCGCGGAGAGGCCGAGUCCCUCUGGUUAAAGGACAUUCACACCUUCAUCACACUGCACCUGUGUCCUGUCCUCUCUGGCCCCGCCCCCUCUCCUGCUGACGACCCGCUGACAGGUGUGUGUGCUGAUC